CAGGCACAGUGAGUGCAGUCACUAAGAGGUCUCUACUCAAGCAAUGACUGUGAAUUUAGUUCAUGAGUUUCUAUGUGACCAUAACAGGAAUACACAUUACAGUGCCUCACAGCUGGCUCCUUCCCAAGUUAGUUUUGCUUUGUGAUUUGGCCUUGGAGCAAAGAUCAUGUCUGAGAUUUAAAAUGGUUCCAAGGAUCACACUGCAGGAAAAGGAAGGAAGAAUCAAUCCUGCACUCAACUGCAACUGUUCUUCACACUCCUUUGGCUUGUGUUAGCCAGACAGUAGAAGAUCAAAUAUGAAAUACAACCACUGCUGGAGAGCGAGGGCUGCUGUCAAAACCUGACUAAUAGACAGUGAGAACAACAGGAACACUCAUGCUCACGUUAAUUUGCUCUUGGUCUCUGUCUCCUUUGGAAAAGGAUAUUUCCACUUGGUAAUGUGUCCGACCUCCCCAGACAUGAAUGUCAAGUAUCGCAGAGUUUCUAUCCCCACAUUUGUGUGCAUAACUUUCCGCAAUCCUUCACGUUGCCAGAUGUAAAAAGCUACCACGGGAGAAGCGUAAUUCUGAAUCCACAGCACGUCCCCAGACUCACUGUCUACAGUCACCACCAGUCCAUCUCCAUUAGACACAAAGUGGGACAUUUCUACAAUAUACAAAUGUAUAGGAGAUUACCUGGAUUGCUGCUUACAUGCAAUUUUAGUAAUACACAUUAACAAGCCUCACAUAACUGUGGAGUUCACUGCAUCUUACGUUGGAAAUGAAAAGAUGUCAAACUGAUACAAGCAUGGUUCAGUCAGACAGCAGGAAAACCACAUCUAGCUCACCUCUUCAGCAUAUAUGACAGCAAGGAUCGUAGACCUCACGACUCUAAACCUGGACAUUAACUAACACAUAGAUCAUGUCUUCAGCAUAUGCUGAAAGGGGAGCUUUCAUGGGUGAGAAGCGACUGAGAAGCCUCUUGCUGAAUGACUGAAAGCUCUGCCAUCCUUUGUUCUGUGUCAGGAUUCAGAAGACAACCCUGCAGAGCUGCUCUGUGCCUGUGAGAGCAAACAGGCAGUCCUUGCAGCCUCCAUUUUGAUUAACCUCAAUGUAAACUCAACUGUGGAAGAUAAACUUUAAGUCUCCCACACUCUGGGCAAAAACAACAGACAGCUCCAGCAUUUGUACAUCAUAGUUCAGGUUUGCUUCCUCUCCUGCCAUUUUUCACUGCACUUUAGGAGUCAUACCUUCAAAGCCUGUACCUUCUAGAUUGCGUUAACCUGAAACUAACAGGUUUGAGCUAUUAAGCCAAAGGCUAAAAAUGAGUAGACACCAAUUGCAAAAUUUAGUAAACUUAUUAAAACAGAGAAUAUAUUUGUCUGUAUACAUAGCCCAUGGCCAAUAUCUGAAAAAGAAAAAAGACUGCAAUUAAAUUCUUACUAUAUUUUACGUCUUCAUCAGGAAGAGUGGCUGCAUAAUCAAAAUAGGUGGCAUUCCAUCUCAGCUCCUUCUUCUUGGUGUCAUACAUUGUGAUUGUGUACUCUGUUAAAAAAUACACAGUCUGUGAAGCAAAAAAGCCUAUGGAGUACAGAAGCAAUCACUGCAAAUGUGAGAUACUGCUCAGAACACCACACACUGCUUACUGUGCUCUGCAUUUCAUUUUCCCCAAGCUCCUGAUAAAGAAUCAUUUCAUAGUGGUUAAAGACAACACCCGAUCCACGCACACACUCACAUUCUGCAGCCUCAGAAGCAGCCCUGCAGACUGAUGCUGCCCACCCCACCAGCAUUUUGCUUCUACAGAACAGCUUCUGAUGUACUUUAUUUAACAUAAAUGUUUCUAAAUCCUAUUUUCUAAUAUGUAACUUACUGUGCAACGUAACUAAACUAUCACACCUGGGAACAUUUGCACCUCUAUAUUUAUGUGUUAUUAAAGAUCAAGUCCAUAUGACUUAUUUUUACUAGUCAACAUCUAUGCGUUGUAUCUCGGUCUAGUUUUAAGUUAUUUAGAAUGCUGCAUUUGUAAUUCCAGUUAAAAUGCUGUAUCUUCAUUUUAUUUAAACAUUUUUUAAUGAAAUCUAGAAGUUAUACAGAAAACUCGGGUUCACAGCUGCUAGUGGAGAGCACUGUUAAAUAAAACAUAAAUGCCAUGCUGUCAACGACAAGAAUAACACAUCAUUUCUACUCCCAAAGUUUACAAGAAUACAAUCUUUCCAAUUGCUAUGAAGAGCCAAUAUUUUUUUCUGUGUAUAGUCUAAAAUUAUUCUAAGACAAACUGGACAACAUGAACUGAUCACAAGGUCAUUUGUUACCAUUCUAAUCUUCAAAAAUUGCAACAAAAACAA